GGUUGGGGAGGAGAAAUAUGUAUACAAAUGAAAAAUCUCCUUCCUUCCCACUUCCUGCACAUCCCUCGCGAAGCUGUGUGCUUAGUUGAGGAUGACUGAGCUCAGUUGAAGAGCUCUGUCAUCCUCACUAGAGGAGGACAGUUCUUCUUCAGUCAAAGGAAUACGAGUAGUUGCACCUCUCUGCUAGAAACUCCAAACAAGCUCUCAAGGUCCAAAUGAAGAAGCAAAGGUGGUAUGGGAAAGAAGAACCAGGAAAAACAUAUUCAAGUCGACUAGGAGAAGUCUU
rnacentral:snRNA from 1 species